UACGAAGGGGGGCUAGCGUUGCUCGGAAUCACUGGGCGUAAAGCGCACGUAGGCGGCUCUCUAAGUCAGGGGUGAAAUCCUGGAGCUCAACUCCAGAACUGCCUUUGAUACUGGGGAGCUUGGAGUCCGGGAGAGGUGAGUGGAAUUCCGAGUGUAGAGGUGAAAUUCGUAGAUAUUCGGAGGAACACCAGUGGCGAAGGCGGCUCACUGGCUCGGUACUGACGCUGAGGUGCGAAAGCGUGGGGAGCAAACAGG
rnacentral:rRNA from 1 species